GGUGAUAUAGCUGAGGGGUAGAGCACUUGAGUGGAGAUGAAGAGGUCCCUGAUUCAAGUCCGGGUGCCCCCU
rnacentral:tRNA from 1 species